rnacentral:rRNA from 1 species
ACAUCGCUCUUUGAAAUAUUAAAUAUGAAGAGUCGAGCCUGCCCAGUGAUGGAAUUUAACGGCCGCGGUACUCUGACCGUGCAAAGGUAGCAUAAUCAUUUGCCCUAUAAUUGAGGGCUAGUAUGAAUGGUUUGACAAGAGCAAUACUGUCUCUUUUAAAUUUUAUAGAAUUUGGUUUUCAGGUGAAGAAACCUGAAUUUAAUUGAAAGACAAGAAGACCCUAUCGAGCUUUAAGUUAUUUUGUUAGUUUAAUGAGUUAAAGAUCAGUUUUAACAAAAGAUUUUGGUUGGGGCGACUGAGGAACAAGAAAAGCUUCCUUUUUUAAAAUAACUUAUUGGUUUUGAUCCAAAAUGUUUGAUUAAAAGAAUUAGUUACCGUAGGGAUAACAGCAUAAUCUUUUUUGAGAGCUCUUAUCGAAAAAAAGGCUUGUGACCUCGAUGUUGGACUAGGAUAUCCUAAUAGAUGCAGACGUCUUUGAUGGUUGGUCUGUUCGACCAUUAAAAUCCUAC